AGCACCCCCACGCGAUUCCAAACUCCUCCUCCUCCCUUUAUUUUCCACCCAUAUAUAAAGAAGGUUUUCCGUUCUUUUCUCUUUCCUCGCCAUUUUUCUCUUCUCUCCCCGAAAGCUCCGCCCUUGAGAGAAAAAUCUCGAGCCUAAAUCUAGGUUACAGAACAAAGUAAACAUGUUUGGAAGGAUUUCCUUAAGGUGAAUGAAACACUUGUGCCAUGAGCAUAAUUUCAAGCUUUUGACGGUGGUAUUCGAGUCGCAACUUUAUGUUUGCGUUUAUUGUGUCUAUUGUAAUGUAAAACUUGCAGACCAUGUGGUGAAUGCAUACCAAUGUAUAUGCAGACUUGUGUUGAACGAAUUAUGAUUACAAUCAAUAUAUUACCAAUGAAAGUAUUUAUGUAUAA